rnacentral:rRNA from 1 species
UAGGGAAUCUUCCACAAUGGACGCAAGUCUGAUGGAGCAACGCCGCGUGAGUGAAGAAGGUCUUCGGAUCGUAAAACUCUGUUGUUAGAGAAGAACACGAGUGAGAGUAACAGUUCAUUCGAUGACGGUAUCUAACCAGCAAGUCACGGCUAACUACGUGCCAG